rnacentral:lncRNA from 1 species
UGGGAAUAAUGACCCCCCCCACCCCUGCCUCAUAGGCUGACUGUGAGGAUCCAAUGAGUUAAUAAACAUUAAUCACUAAUUACAAUGUCCACAUACAAAGGUGAAUUAUCUGCGAAGCUAAAGAAACUGAAGCUUUAGGUCCUGGUCUUGCAUCCUUGCAUGUCCCCUUCCCCAAAGCACUAUAUUUUGUAUUCAUCAUUUUGUCUUUUUCUUAAAGAGGAUUCCAGCUUGCAUAAGCUUCAAGCCCCUCAAAACUUGGAUCCACCCCAGGGUUACCUAGAAAAGGAAGCAUUUGGUUUGGAUGACUGCUGCGGACGCACCUAGUGCAAAAAUGCAAGCUUCUAAGUCUUAGUCAUGGACAAACAUGUGCCAAACCCUCAUUUGUGGACUGGGGCACAGACGUAUUUCUCAGUAGACAAGGAGCCAUAGAAGAGAGCAUGUGCCAGGCUCAUGGUAGAGUGACCGACUCAUCCCAGUUUCCCUGGGACAGCACCAGCUUGACUUACAGCGUUGAGUCAAAUUUCUGCUGUGCAGCAUAGUGACCCAGUCAUGCAUAUAUACACAUUCUUUUCCUCAUAUCAUCUUCCAUCGCGUUCUAUCCCAAGAGACUGGAUCUUGUUCCCUGUGCUAUACACUAGGACCUCACUGCGUAUCCAUCCUAAAUGUCACAGUUUGCAUCGACCAACGCCCACCAGCACCCAUUUUAAAACCUAAAGCACCACGUCUCUGAAACCCCCUCGGUCCCGGGUGAGCCAGGAUGGUUGGUCGCCCUCCUCAGGGAGGAGAGAUGCAUGUCACUGUUAUGCACCAUGGAGCUCGCAGGUCAGCGAUGCCUGGUGUCUUGCAGGUGCCCGGUAACUCUGUUGAGUGGGCAGUGUGUACACCAACUGUCCUGCUUUCUGAGCUGGAGGGAGGGGAUGCUUGGUGGUCUGGGGUGGGGGCCGGGGGAAGCAGGGAGAGGGCAUGGAAAUCCAGUGUGAAAAACAAGUCCGUGGUGGUGAAGUUGGGUCAGAAAACUACUAUUACUGGGAGAGAGGGUUGCGGACUGGGAUGAGAGGAACCCCUCAAAGGCAGGUGGGGUGCCCAGACCCCGGGUAGUUUCUGUUUACUUCUGGGUACCCGAGAACCGACAGCACGUCUGUCUUCCGUGUAGAAUCGCCACGUUGUCAUUUUCUCAGCUCGGAAACUCCGCCUGCAUCCAGGCAGAGCCCGGAGUACAGGCUGGAUCUGGCUGGGGAUAAACGGUGCCCCAGGCGGGUCUGCGGCUGGCUCUGGGCAGGCGGGCGAGCUGCUCGGCCCCGAUUCCACAUGCUGUGUAGACUCCAAUUACCCGAGGACUUAGAGAUCAAACAGCCCAACUGUGCUCCACAAAGAAAGAGGAGCUCUUAAUUUCACUCUGUGCUGCACCCUCCUGCCAGACCCUGCAAAACAAUGCUUUGCAUUGAUGUCCUCCGGAGCCGCAAACCUUCCUGAAACUGUCUCUGCUUAUCCCAGCCACAUCUCUAUGAAGUGGACAGGGGACAGGGUCCGAUAUUUUAAAGAACGGCCCGGGAUAUCAUGGCAGCCACAGAUGGCUUAAAGCACUCGCUCCUACUUUGCCAAGGACAGAGAAUUUAAAAAUUGUUAUUUAUGUUUACUUUCAGUUAUCCGUGAAAGGUGUUGGAAGUGGAGAAAAAUUGUUUGUAUUGGCCCCUCGCUGAGUGGUGGCAUAGACGCAGAGGACCUGAAAGAAAACAGGAAAGCCAGCAGAAGGCCAAGGGCCAGAGACUGGAAUUUUACAGAUUUUAUUUUUCUCUUCUCUCAUAGUACAAAUACAGGUCGUCAUAGUCAGGGUUUAGAGUGGGGAGAAGCACAGCCCAAAAUUAGUCUGAUUUUUUUUUUUUUCAAUGAUAAGGUCAGUUCAAAGGGAAAUACUGUGGACAAUGCAAUCAUUUUGAACAUGUAAGAUGAAGGAAAGCCAAAAUAUUUGGGGAAAAAAUUCUUUGUAGACAUCUAGCUAGGUAGGCAACAAAUGAGAGCUAAGCCUACAGAUCUAAUUUGCUUUCCCAUAUGUUGAUAUUAAAAGUACUUUUAGCUUUCAGGACAACAGAUUUGUAAUUAAGAAGAGUGUACUAAAGUGAUACAGAAUUUCAGGGUUUUUUGAUAGGCGACUUCACCUGUAUAAUAAUCAUGUCUGCAUGCUGCUACUUGUUUAGAAGCUUCUCUAGAAAUGAAUGAUACAGAUACCGUAAACGGAUCCGCAUUUCCCUUUGAUAAAGUGAAAAAGAAAUGUUUGAGAUGUAGUUGAAACGCUAUCACAACACAGGGAUCAGGAUAGAGCUCAAAGGCAAAUGCAAAUAUCUUUUAAAGUGAGCAUUCUAUACAGAAAACAUAUAUUUAUAAUAAAAACUGACCUUAAUGUUAAGGGGAAAUGAUGGUGCAAGCCUUUCUAUUUUGGAACUAAUAUGCUACCUUGUUUCUUAUUUGAUGGUCUUAAAAAGCAGAUCAUAGGACUUUGAAAGCAGCAUUUUUCAAGCACUGUCAACACGCUGGUAUAGACAACGAGAGAGAAGCCAAAUUGUCCAUUUGUGAGAUUCCUAAGCAAUUUGUCUUCAUUUUAGUUGUUUACUCUCAAAUAUUGAAUGCUCUUCCCACCAUGCCACUGUAUCCCCCUAUUGCUAAGUGAUUUUUGUAAAAUUUACACUGAAAUGACUUACUAUCCCACUUCAGAUGGUCUUGAAGACAUGUCUCUGAAAUAAUGGAAGAAGAACUCAAAGUGCUCCCUCUCUUUUGCACUGCUUGCCACCACAGGAAUAAACCUGGAGAUACUUAUUCUCCGCUACUAAUUUUGGAUCUCUUCAUUGUUUUACCGUAAUAGCCCUCAACUAGAAAGUCCACGAUCAACAUCGGAUUUUGAUCAUUGUGACACAGGGUAACGCAAUCCAUUACAAAAUGUCACCAUCGUGCACAUGUGUAAGAAUUAAGAUGUCUCAUGAAUGAGCACCGAAUGCUGGAUAAACGGAGCCACCUGCCACAGAAUCUUCCCCCGUGCAAACUCAACAAUGCUAAGCAGGUCAUCCGGGUUCUAGAAGUCACGGCCGGAUCAUGGCUUUCUGCACACAGUGAUGGUUUCUGUGGGAAAAAUGUAGCAGGGAAUGUCAUGCUCCUUACCUUGCUUUACACCACAACUGUUGGAGGCAAUGCUUUCUCCGAUUUCUUCCGGUUUUGCUUGGGAUCCAGGAAGAAAGAGUGUCCCUGAUUAGUAACUUCUCAGAUAUUCCUUAGGACACAGAGAUUUUGGGAGAUACUUUGGCAUGCCAGCCUCAGUGUGCCCUCUCAGUUUAAAGCCUGGAAGGUGGACAAAUGUACAUUGGCUUCCCGGCAGGCACUGAAAUUCGGAGCAGACAGCUGGCUCCAACAGCCUUUCCACGGGAAAUGAACACAGUUUCUCAGAUGGCCACUAGAUGGCGUAUGACAACCAUUUGUGUCAGCCACGCACGCGUCCCAUCUGUCAGUAACUUAGCAAAUGUGCUCAAAAACAGUUCCUCCAAGAGAACUUCGCUAUUGGAUUGUUCUUAUCAUUUCAAUCUUUAUAUGGAAAUUUCAAUGCUUCUGAUUUAUGUCUGGGAAGUCGAUGAACUCUUCGCUGGAAGAGACAACAUCACAAAGUGCAUUUGUUAGGUUCAUAAACAUUGGCACUUACAGCUGAAUCAAGACACAAAUAUUAACUGUCAAUGUGUAUCCUGCCCAUUUAUCUACCAAAGCUUCCACAAACUUUUAUUAAGUGUCCAAAGUGUCUAUGGUGUGGGAAAUGUUACUUGUGCUUCUAAACUAUUGAAAGAACAUUCCGUUACCAGAAAUUAACCAAGUGCUGUAAAAUAAAGACAUCAAUUCCAUGUUUUACAGUCGGGCUAUCAGUGUAACGUUGAAACAAAAUAUGUGCUGCAAUGUCAGCAGCUUCAUAUUGAUAUAGAAUAAAUCUGAAGUCAACAACAAAAAAAGAUCAAGUGAAGUAUUUGGUAAAUAUUCCCCCCACCCGCACACCCAGAGCAAAAUAUGCCCCUUUUGCCUUAAGACAGGUAAUUCCUAUAAGAAGAAUAAACUAGAUCUAGAGUAGCGUUAGUUUUCUCUUUCGUGUCCUUUGUUUCUCAUACAGGAAUGACAUAAUGGGGUACUCAUAGGAAUGAGUAUUUUAUGACAUAAUUUUUUAAAAGUUUACUUGCUGGUAGGUUUAAUAAUUAUAAUGGCUUUAUCACAGUGUUCAGAAGGACAUGUGGCGACGUCUUCUAAAGUGAGUUCCACACCUGUAGAGAUAAUCAACAAAUUUCUAAGAUCCUUUCCACUUUUAAGAAUCAAUGAUUUUAAAAAAGGAGCGGUUAAUAUCUUUCGCUCUUUUCCAAAUAGGUGUGAUAUUUCUUCUAGGCCAGCCUCUACCCCAAAGAAAAGAAUGGUCUCAUUUUUAGAAUUACUGGCUGUUUGUUUGAACUAAAGAAUUAGUUGCAUUUCAAAACAAAGACAUGCCUAAUGAAAUGAUUAAAACAUACAGAGCAUUAAAUUAUAAGCAGAUGGGGGUGAGAGGGGGCCGGGGGGGAGGUGAAUUUGUUAGAGACCCGAGUCCAGGGAACGCUGACAGCUUUGGGUCUUUCGCAACAGCACAGAACAUGAUUGUUUCAGCAAUAAAAGAUAAGAAAACAACCCCUGAAAAAUAAAUCUGUUUUCUUUUUUGAUAGACAGGAACAUGCAAGAAGAGCCAGAAAGUAAAAUCCAUGUGUUACUAUAAAGGUUGAAAGGGAUGGUCCACAAUGAUGCUGGGAAAAGGAACCAGGAUGCUGGCAAGUGUGUCAUAGUGGCCAAAAGUCCUAACUCAGUGAGCCAAGAGGAUCAGACGGGCCCAGGAUAAGUCAUGGUUCAGGGUUUGGAUUCUUCAGAAGAAGAAGUCAGACAUGCCCGCCCCCUCCCCCGCUGCAGUCUGGUCCCAGUUAUUCAUGAAACGUCUUCUCUCUUCCCUCCUCCCUGAAAUUUAUCAUUUUAAAUGCUGCUCUGUAUCGUUAAAAGAUAAGAGUUUGAUGAGAUAAAGUUUAGAAUAGCUAAAGAAGAAGUUUGGCGAAUGGGAGCAGUUCACAGACUGUGCAAAUUGUCUAAGUGACACUUUAUAGUUCGAUAGAAUCCAGGAGAGUUUUAUCUUGAAUUUCUAUCAGGCUACAUUCAGCAGGAGCUUGUUCCCUGGAAAUGG